rnacentral:rRNA from 1 species
UACGUAGGGGGCAAGCGUUGUCCGGAAUCAUUGGGCGUAAGCGCGUGUAGGCGGCCCGAUAAGUCCGCUGUGAAAGUCCAGGGCUCAACCCUGGGAUGCCGGUGGAUACUGUCGGGCUCGAGUCCGGAAGAGGAGUGUGGAAUUCCGUGGUGUAGCGGUGAAAUGCGCAGAGUAUCGGGAAGAACACCCGUGGCGAAGGCGGCUCUCGUGGGUCCCUACCGACGCUGGGGUGCGAAAGCAUGGGGAGCGAACAGGG